rnacentral:rRNA from 1 species
UACGUAGGGUGCAAGCGUUAAUCGGAAUUGCUGGGCGUAAAGCGUGCGCAGGCGGUUAUGCAAGACAGAUGUGAAAUCCCCAGGCUCAACCUGGGAACUGCGUCCGAUACUGGCAGGCUUGAAUCCGGGAGAGGGAUGUGGAAUUCCAGGUGUAGCGGUGAAAUGCGUAGAUAUCUGGAGGAACACCGGUGGCGAAGGCGGCAUCCUGGACCGGUAUUGACGCUGAGGCGCGAAAGCUAGGGGAGCAAACGGG